AAAGUCGUAACAAGGUUUCCGUAGGUGAACCUGCGGAAGGAUCAUUAACAAAUUCCAAAACUCGUGUUUGGCCCGACUGGAAGGCCCAGUGGAACCUCUGUGCGAACGGGGGCAACACUGGCUGGAAGGAAAGGUCAGCUAUACACAAAUACUCACAUUUACAAUUGACAACUAAUGGAAAUCCAAAACAUGUUAAUCAAAAACAACUUUUAACAAUGGAUCUCUUGGCUCUU
rnacentral:misc_RNA from 1 species